rnacentral:lncRNA from 1 species
GGCGGGACGGCCGCGGGCUCUGCGCCCGCCCUCGGCGCGGACCCUGGGCCCCGACCCCGCGGUCGCCGGGGCUCCCCUUCCUCUGUCCCAGUGCGCCCAGCCCCGCGCUCCGCACCCGGGCACCCCCGCGGGGUUCUCCUGAGUUCCUGGAGCUCCCGGGGCUGGCGCUCACGCCGUGAGAGGGGUGCGCCCUUAGGGGGGCGGGACGGACGGGGGGUUUCUACGGGAGGUAGGAAACGGGCGGCUUGCAAGGCGCGGGCUUAGGCCGGAGCCUGGUGGUGCGAGGUCCCCAGCUCGGAUUUCUCCCUGGUGGAGAGUCCCGGAGCAGAACAAACCAGCAGAGGCUCUGGAAAGGGUCCUCCUGAGCACGUGGCUCAUUCAUUCAUUCGACAAACGUUACCUGAGCGCCUGCCCACUCAUUGCCCGAGUGUGCUGGGAGCGCCGCACCAACUGCCUGGUAGGUGGGAGAAGGGACACGUCAGGUAACAAACAGCACAGGUAAGUGCCGGCCACUCAAAUGGGGUGGAAAGAGGUGGCACAGCGCUGCCGAGGGAGUGCGUUCCAGACAGGUGACCUCUUGCUUGGGUGCUGAAUGAGUGGAGUUUUCCAGAGAGACCAAGAGGAAGCAGCCGCAGAAACCUCAGCCCAGCUGGGCUUGCAGAAGCUAAUGCUAGAAUAGUUGUGGGACUCAGGAUCUGCUGAAGUCGGGGGAAGAGAGAAGUAGGGAAAGGAAAGCCCAGGCCACGCGUGGGGCUCAGGAACGGCAUCCUCGCCCGAGAAAAGAGAGGUUAAAACCAAGACAUGGACAAAGCCUCCGAAUGAAGGCAGCCCUUUAAAUGGAAUAAAUUUGGUUUCAUGGCACAUUAAUGGGGUGUCUUCUCUCCGAAGACACAGAGACAACUACAGUAGGUCUGGGGGCCGUCAGGGAUUGGAGGAACGAAGUCAAAGUGGAGGAAGGAGGAGCUUGAGAUUGAAAAAUCAGUUUGAGAAGCAGCCACCUUGACUGGCUUCACUCUAAUAGCCUGGACGCUGCCUCCACACUCCAGGUGCACUGCUCAGCAUUCUCCAAGAAGAUCAUUAAGGCAGACCCUACGUGUUAAAUUUCAAUCAGUUUCAUUGAGCAAAUAUGCUGUUAAAUAGAGACUGCUGUGUGCUGCGUCAGUGUGCCUUAUGGGCAAAUGUGAUGGUGACUAUAAAUGCAGACCAAGCAGUCCUUCCCACACUGUGUACACAAAGAAAGGAGCUCUGGAACUGGGAGCCAGGACAUCUGCAGGAGGAGAAUUCUGAAGUGAAAGGAGGCCUGGAUAUUGGUUGCAAGGCCUUGUCCCUGGAGCCUGGAUGCUCUCAUACCUUCUACAUCUGGGCCUCUGGGUCCAGGACAGUGCCAGGGAGAGUUCAUAGAAACAAAUGUGUUGAAGACCUUAGCGGUUGUCUGACUCUGAGACAGUUACCUGGCCACUCUUAAGUUUCCUCAUUUUUUUUUUAAUUUUACUUUAAGUUGCGGGAUACAUGUGCAGAACGUGCAGGUUUGUUACAUAGGUAUGCAUGUGCCAUGGUGGUUUGCUGCACCUGUCAACCUUUCAUCUAGGUUUUAAGCCCCUCAUGCAUUAGAUAUUUGUCCUAAUGCUCUCCUUCCCCUUGGCCCCCUGUCAGGUCCUGGUGUGUGUGUUGUCUGGCCCCCACCGUGUCCAUGUGUUCCUAUUGUUCAUCUCCCAUUUAUGAGUGAGAAUAUGUGGUGUUUGGCUUUCUCUUCCUGUGUUAGUUUGCUGAGGAUGAUGGUUUCCAGCUUCAUCCAUGUCCCUGCAGAGGACAUGAUCUCAUCCUUUUCAUGGCUGCAUAGUAUUCCGUGUUGUGUAUAUACCACAUUUUCUUUAUCCAGUCUUUCAUUGGUGGACAUUUGGGUUGGUUUCAUGUCUUUGCUAUUGUAAAUAGUGCUGCAAUAAACAUUAUGUGUGCAUGUGUCUUUAUAGUAAAAUGAUUUCUAUUCCUU